GUGCAUCAAUACCUUGGCUCUAGACUGCUUACUGCUAAAACUGUCCCGAAGUACAGUAACAGUCUACAGUCAUGGCUACUGAAGUCUG
rnacentral:pre_miRNA from 1 species